AUAGGCCCUGUAAUUUUCCCUAUUGAAAAGUCUCUGCACGAAUUUUUUUUUCAGACAUUUCUGGUGCACGAAUUUUUUUUUCUUUCUAUUUUCCCUGCUCGAAUUUUAUUUUUGUUCCCCCCCCCCCCAAUCACUUUUCUAAUGGUCCGCCCCUAAGAGUUUGCUCGUUUGACCGGUAAUAGACCCAUUGCACUGACGUCACAAAUCCUUGGAGUGUCCUCCAGAUGCUCCCCAACAAUAUCUGUUCGGGUACAACAACCACAUACAGCGCAAAAAUGAACCAUUUUAAUACAAAAUUAUUAUAAACUUUUACAAAAUUUGCUUUGUUUACAAAAGUUAUAUUAUGCAUAGAUUGCUAAUUUGUCCUCCAGAUGCAUCGUCAACUCUCAUCAGUUCAGAAAACUUUCAUCAGCAAACCCAUUGCCAAGUCAAAUCCGAGUCAAUUACGAGCCCGAGUCAAACGUCCAAGUCAUGUAUAAAAAAGACGAAAUUGAAUAAAAUUCACAAUCGAAUAGGGUUAGGAGUAGUGUUAGGGUUAGGAGUAGAGUUAGGGCAGUAAGUCAUUGAACUACAAAGACCGCUAAACGGUGACUCGGACAUUUGACUCGGUUUACCCCUCGCCUGUCAACUGUCAUCCUUGUUUAAGCAGGGCAUAAUAUUUGAGAUAACGAUGAUAUCGUACUGGCUUCGUUUGUUCAAUCUCUUACGCAAUAAAAAUAGCGGGAAUUAUUCAUUAAAGAACCAAGGCGAAUUCGUCGAGACGUUUAAGACUUCUUCUAAUAUAAAUACGGCCAAUCUAAACUAUUUUCAGCAAGGGGCAUUUCCCUCAAAAAUCUCGUACACUUUGUCAAAAAAAUCCCCUAAUCUGUUUUUUUCCAACAUUCAUAAUGAAUGACCUAAACACAAGAAAGCUUCAGGAAAACAGUUCCCGCUUUUUGGCAAAUACAUUUUAUUUAUAUUUUCACUGUACUUUAGAAACAUCGUUGUCUAUAAAGAUUUUGUAUAAUGUUGUCAAUUGAUAGACAUUUAAAACUUAAUGAUCGGUAGAUAGAUAUCAUAUAAAAAAUAAUAAAAGCACAUUCAUA